CAAACCAAACCGCAUGUAAGAGCAUCUCCAACAGCUCGUCUAAAACGUUGUCCAUACUUGUUUAGACGGCCAAAGACAAAAAAAGCCUUCCAACAGCUCGUGCAUACGGCCAUGUAAAUAUACACAUCCUCCAAAUCGAGGUCCACGACGUCCAGCCCUGGACAUCGUCGACCCUCGUCCGCAGCCAACAGCUCCUCCUUCACGCUGAGACGAGGAAGAAGCGCGCCAUCGCGAGGGCGCCGUCGUCCCGCACCGUCGUCCAGGAAUGGACCCACUUGCACUCUCCUGUGCCCAACGGGGAGCGGUUCGAUCUUCGGGCAGAAAGCAAAGGCGGCAGCGCCGAGAGAGAGUACGUUGAUGACAACGAGUAAAGCGAAGAUGCUUCGAAGGACAGCGAAGAAGAAGAACAACCUCCUCCACGUCCUGAACUAAGCAAGGCCACGACCCAACAGCUGCACCGAGCAAAACAGCCGCCUCCAGCAGCAGAAGUUGAAGUGGGACCGAGCCGUCGCAAUUGACGCUGCAGAGAAGGCUGCGAAGCAGCCAAAGCGUGACACGCCGAAACUUCGGAAGGCCUUGCCGCGAAUGAGAAUCGCCGUGUCGGUCGCCUCAGCGUAAGUGUUUAUCUUUUUCAUCUCGCCACUGUGUCUUUUCAAACUUCUCGUGACCGAGUGCAAUUUGUUUGUCGGUGCUACUACUUCGGUGUCGACUCCUGUCGAGACGGGAGAGGAUCGUAUGGACCUAGACGUCGUGGAUCAGCCUACACCUCGACCAGAAGGCUUGCGAGAUUGGGUUGCAAUAUACCCAGAUGGAAUCCGACAAGAACCAACUUCAGCUGGAGUAUGAUCCAAUGAAAAAGGUGCAGGAAGACAAGGAUCUAGUCCUUGCAAAGCUGAAGGAGAAGUCUGAAGCUGAUGAACUGAAGCUUGCAGACUUUGACAGGUUGAUCGCAGAAAAUGAGAAAAUGAAAAAAGAAAGAGAUGAGUUGGCAAAGAAGCUUAACUCUAUGGCAAAGAGGGGAAACGCCAUAGAAAUUUUUGUAAAACAUUCCUAGCGAAGAUGCUUGCGUCCCUCAUUGAAUUUUGUCCGAACUACGAGAAAGAGACCUUCAAGGUGGAGGCAUACUUGGACCCCAUCAAGUUUCUUGUGCCUGAUGACUUGGCCGUAAAUAUGUAUCGCUUCAACUGCCACCUCGUGAAAGUUCAAGGAUAUCUCACUCGACUGCGAGCUGCUGUGUGGGGAAUCAACAAAGAGCCGUGGCCUGAAGAUACGUUCCGCGUCGAUCUGGAAGCUGUGAUGGAGCGCUUGUAUCGGGUUUCUGAGAGAGUCCAAGCAUGGAAGAAAUCCGCUGCUUGGUGCGGAGCUGAUGUUACUCUUUCCCUUGUCAGGGUCCACUAUAAGGAGGCGAGAGAAGACAAACUGAAAAUGCUCCAAGUAGCGAAUACCAAGAAGCUCCAGUUCGAGGAUUUUAUGGAGACCUUCAUUAGUGCUACGACUCGAAUUGCUUAUGGAAUUGAUCUCGAUACCUUUGUCGAGCCAGCAAGUCUCGGAGGUCCUUGAGGAGAAAACUGUCGUUGUUCCCAAAAAUCUUUAAAUUUUCCUCGGUAUGCCGAGUGGUCGAUGUAUCGUUAAACUUCGUUCAGGUGUUUAACCCGAGUACUUUAUGUCUGCGCGGAUAACUUUGA